rnacentral:tRNA from 1 species
GCUCGGGUGGUGGAAUUGGUAGACACAAGGGACUUAAAAUCCCUUGUCCUUUUGGACGUGCGGGUUCGAGUCCCGCCCCGAGCA